rnacentral:lncRNA from 1 species
GUUGAGUCUAACUUACUGCAAGGGCAAAGUGUUUGUUCGAGGGCGAGUUUUAUUUAGUAUGAAGCAGCUUUCUUGCUUCAAGAUUCUGCUUUUUAUUGCUAGUUUCGCAUUUCUACUUUCUCUAAAUGAGAAGAAGAAACAGUCGCUUGCUCUUGCAUAUCCACAUCCCGGGGGAUGUACAAGCUGUUUUCCACACAGUAGAAGUAGACGGCUACCUCCAAACGUACGAAAUCCUCCACGACCAAAUCCAUUACGAGGAAGAAAUCCGGGUAUCUUAGGGCGACCGAGAGCCAGACCACCAGUAGGACAACCCCUGCCUUUGCAGCGACCACCGCGCCCGCUGAGAAAACAAGGCUCAUGAUGCCAAAAAUGUUGCGCAUCGACUAUAAGGUGGGACUCACCCUUUAUAAUUUGAGACAAGCGCUAGACAUAAUAAAUUAUGCAUUCUUUCUCUGGUGGGGGUUUAUUUGCGGGUUUGUGUAGGUAAAGAUGAAUGUCCGUAGAUUCGUGCUUUUCCUUUUAUCUUGGGUACUUGAAAUAAAUCAAAAAGUCGCACAGCUUAUAAAACCGUU